rnacentral:rRNA from 1 species
UACAGAGGGGGCCAGCGUUAUUCGGAAUUAUUGGGCGUACAGGGCGCGUAGGCGGCUUGGCAAGUGGAAGGUGAAAUCCCUCGGCUUAACCGAGGAACUGCCCUCCAAACUGCUUCGCUUGAGACCGGGAGAGGUGAGUGGAAUUCCGAGUGUAGAGGUGAAAUUCGUAGAUAUUCGGAGGAACACCAGUGGCGAAGGCGGCUCACUGGUCCAUUACUGACGCUGAGGUGCGAAAGCGUGGGGAGCAAACAGG